rnacentral:lncRNA from 1 species
AAGGCUUGGUCAGUGAGAGGCUGUGUAACGUGUGGUUAGAUGAUGCUAGGGACGAACUAGUGAUUGUCUAUGAAACGAUUAAGAAGUUGUGUAUUGGAUCUCAUGUUUCUAAGUAAUACAUUUUAUACACAUUUAUAUUCCGCUGUGCUAUCUGUUCAAUUGUUUUAGAACCUCAGAUUCGAACAUAACUUAGUAAAUGAAUG